GACUAAAUUUCAGACUGUUAAGACUUUAUUCAAAGCUGAAUACUGUUUUUCUUCUCUCUGAGUGCACACUCCAUUUUGUUGGCUUAGUCUGAACUUCCUUGAACAGAAGUGAUUUCAUUGUGUUUUCGUACAGGGAGCACCUCAAGAGAGUCUUGGUUUUGGCUGUAUUUUUUGGUGAUGGUGUGAUGCAUAUAGAUAAUGACAUUGUAUACAAAAAAGGGUGGGAAAGUUGACCUUGAAUGGUACUCACAAAUGUUAAACUUUAUUCAAAAUUCAGAAAUGUCUAGCUUAUAAAUCUGAUUUAUUUUUGUUUAAGGUGAUGUAGCAUCUGGUGGAAAAAUUAAAUAGUGGGUUGGUCAAAGCUCAGUCAGAAAAUCAAUGUUCUUAACCUAUGAUUAAUAUCAAUUUUGUUGGAAAAAUCAAGUGGCAGUUACAUUUCAUGGUCAGUCCUUUCCUGGCCACCCAUUCUCAUGUCAGGCAUCUGAUACUUCUUCUUAGACAAAUCUAAAUCCAAAGCAGCAACAAGUCAGUGGACUUAAAUCUACUUGAAACUUGCAACUGAGAGAACAAGAGAGAGGAUUUAGUGUAUCUAUGCCAGCAGAAGAUUGGGAGUCUUAAGCUGCUUGCAAGCCAUCCACGAUAUAGUUGGGCUGUUGAAAGUCAGAUGGCUUAUACAGCGUGCCGUAACUCUGCCUUUUCUUGCCCUGUCACGUGCAGGGUAGACACAGGCAUUUAAACUGCAGGGCUUCAGUUAAAUCAUUUUCUACGCCGUCUGGGCAGGUGACUUGUGUUCUCCUUCUGGAUUUCUUCUCAUUUUCUUGGUUAUCAAAUUUUACAUCUAAGUUCCCAGAAUAUAGGAUAGCACUUUAUCUUUUUCUAUCCCUCAGAGAGUUUGAGUAGGUUGCAAGUCAUAUAUGUGUAUAUAUAUUAUGUGUGUAUAUAUACAAACAUAAUUUUUGUGUCCUUUUUUUUUUUUUUUUUUUUAAUUGCAACAAAUAUUUGAAAAAUAAAGAUAAGCAUUAGGGUGUUAGAUCAAGGAUGGUGAAAUGUACAAAUUUAAAGGCACUCAGAGUUAGGAAGGGAAAUAUUGGGUAAUCUGCAGGAAGAACAGGGCUAGUUGCUGCAGCAGUGAAUACUGCAAGUUCUCUGUGCUUUUCCUUCUGCAUGAGUAAGCUGUAUUAUAUAAAAUACAUCCUCUUCAGAUGCACCACCAAGGCUUCUCUGAAGGAUCCUGAAGGGAUUAAGUAGCCUAUUCAGGCAUCUUGAAUUUAGAAAAAAUAUAAAGGCAUAAAGAAUAUAAAAGAAAAUUGCACAUUUUAGCUGUUAGACAGACUUAAAGAGGAGUAAAAGUUACGUCUGUAGCAGUGAAAGGGACCUGAAGAAUUAUUUGUCAAGUCCCUUCUAAAACCAUAAAGGUCAGCUAUGAGGACUGGGUUAUUUGUCACAAACUGCUGCAGAAAAUCUGUUCUUUAAGUAUUUGUAAUCUAACUUUAUACAGUGUUACUAUAUUCAAAAUUUCAUCAAUACUACGACAUUGGUUAAUACAACAUAUGAAUAAAAACAAAGAUAUAUGGCCAGAUGCCAUUGUAGCUUGGUACAAAAGUGUAAUACUGUCUUUAGUUCAUAAACACCUUCUGCUUCCACUUGGACAGCUCAACAGGAAUAGGUUUUAACUGUUCAGAAUAAUACCUUUGCUCUUAAAAUGUCUGUCUAUACUAAAAGGUGACUGAAAUUACAUAGAACAUCAUUAUAGGUGCUGUCAGUCAGUGACUUCCAGAUCAACCUUAGUCAUUUUAUAAUUAAAAGCAUUAACUUAUUACUCGAUGUGCAGAUUACAAAAUGCAGGUGUGCUGUCUAACCAUCUUGACAGAAUUUUCUCAUUGUAGGACUCCAUAAAACAAGACUCUUCAGCAAAUUUUUGCCAUUUAUAUAUAACAGUAUAAACAAGCUGUGAUGAUAAAAGUAGUUUCUUAAUUCUGUUAAUGUUUAUAUUAUAAAUUAUGAGUGUUUAUGUAUUAUAAUAUGCUGGUCACCAAUUUGGCUGCUAUAGUCAUUCUGGCAGUAUAA